AUGAACGCUAGCUACAGGCUUAACACAUGCAAGUCNCGGGGCAGCAUGCGUUGCUUGCAACCGAUGAUGGCGACCGGCGCACGGGUGAGUAACGCGUAUCCAACCUGCCCUUCACCACGGAAUAAUCCAGUGAAAAUUGGUCUAAUACCGUAUGAGGUCAUACGAUGGCAUCAGAAUAUGACGAAAGGUUUAGCGGGUGAAGGAUGGGGAUGCGUCUGAUUAGCUUGUUGGUGAGGUAACGGCUCACCAAGGCGACGAUCAGUAGGGGUUCUGAGAGGAAGGUCCCCCACAUUGGAACUGAGACACGGUCCAAACUCCUACGGGAGGCAGCAGUGAGGAAUAUUGGUCAAUGGGCGAGAGCCUGAACCAGCCAAGUAGCGUGCAGGACGACGGCCCUAUGGGUUGUAAACUGCUUUUAUAUGGGGAUAAAGUGAGCUACGUGUAGUUUAUUGCAGGUACCAUAUGAAUAAGGACCGGCUAAUUCCGUG
rnacentral:rRNA from 1 species